rnacentral:rRNA from 1 species
AUUGAACGCUGGCGGCAUGCCUUACACAUGCAAGUCGAACGGCAGCGGGGGAGAAGCUUGCUUUUCCUGCCGGCGAGUGGCGAACGGGUGAGUAAUACAUCGGAACGUGCCCUGUAGUGGGGGAUAACUAGUCGAAAGAUUAGCUAAUACCGCAUACGACCUGAGGGUGAAAGUGGGGGACCGCAGGGCCUCAUGCUAUAGGAGCGGCCGAUGUCUGAUUAGCUAGUUGGUGGGGUAAAGGCCUACCAAGGCGACGAUCAGUAGCUGGUCUGAGAGGACGAUCAGCCACACUGGGACUGAGACACGGCCCAGACUCCUACGGGAGGCAGCAGUGGGGAAUUUUGGACAAUGGGCGAAAGCCUGAUCCAGCAAUGCCGCGUGUGUGAAGAAGGCCUUCGGGUUGUAAAGCACUUUUGUCCGGAAAGAAAUCGCACAGGCUAAUACUCUGUGUGGAUGACGGUACCGGCAUAAGAAGCACCGGCUAACUACGUGCCAGCCGCCGCCGUAA